AUGUCAGGUCUGGAUGCUCCAACAAGCACAACAGAGAAGCAUGAGUGGAUGGAGACAGAAAUUCAUUUGAGCAGUCUGCAGGGUAUUGAUCUGCUAGCAACAGAAGGCCCGGGGAAAACGAACAAAGGCCUCUUCCAUGACUGUUCUCUGAUAUCUACACACCUGCAGCCUGGAAAUGACCUUGGCUUCUACAAGGCUAUGACAGUGGAGCAAAAGCUCUAGGCGGAUCCAACUGGCUAAGAAAGGUUUCAGGUGUAAGCCCAGCAACAGACUUACUGAGUAUGUCAUCUGAGAACUAGCCUGCCUAAGUUUGUAAAGGCUCACCACCAAGCACCUCAUCAUGGGACAAUUCAUUUUUGGUCACUGCCACUCACGAAUAACCAUCUACUAACGAAGAGGCCAUGUGUGAUGUAUGAUUAAGUAGAGAGACUACCCACCAUGAUGAAAUCAGAGAAUCAUGCAAUACUAAAAUCAUAAAUUUAGAGCUGGGGAAGAUGAGGAAACCAAAGGCCAAAGCCAUACACAGAUAGUCAAUGGCACAGCUGAGAUCUGAACCUGGUCUCCUGACUCCAAAUCCUGUACUUUUCCUACUGUACCUCUUGUAUCUCCUGUGGCCACCUGUUCCACACUUAAAUGUUGGAACUUUUUUCCUUCCACUGAAUUAAAGUAGGGUUUUCUUCAACUUUCUUCAACAGAACACCCUGAUUCUGCCUUUUUUGGCCAGGCAGAAGGGCACAGUAUUUGACUGUAAACUCCACAAAGGCAGGGACCAUGUUUUAGCUAAGCUUUGUCCCUCCCCCAAUAUCCAAUACAGGGCUUUGCACACAAUAGUGGAGCUCAGAAAGUCAGAGAGAGAGAGAGACACAGAGAUGGAGACAGAGGAGAAGUGGGGGAACUGUGGGUAGCUAAUGAUUAAGCUGUAAGAGCUAUUUAUGAGACUAAAAACCACUAUAUCCAUCUAUACUUGUACACUUGGCCUGGCAAGAAGAGGUUAAGUAACUUUAAAGGUCUCUUCCAGCUUUGAGGUGCUGAGGAUCUGACUCCCUGCCCUCAAGGAGCUUAGGAUCUAAUUGAUGAGGCAAGACUGAGAACCAUGAAAAAAAUAGCGAACAAGAAAGUUUAUAGGUAGAUAGAUUU
rnacentral:lncRNA from 1 species